rnacentral:rRNA from 1 species
UGGGGAAUAUUGGACAAUGGGCGAAAGCCUGAUCCAGCAAUACCGCGUGUGUGAAGAAGGCCUUAGGGUUGUAAAGCACUUUCAAUUGGAAGGAAAAAAGUGAGGUCAAUACCCUCACUCUUGACAUUACCUUUAGAAGAAGCACCGGCUAACUCCGUGCCAGCAGCCGCGAUAAUACGGAGGGUGCGAGCGUUAAUCGGAAUUACUGAACGUAAAGCGUGCGUAGGCGGCUCGUUAAGUCAGAUGUGAAAGCCCUGGGCUCAACCUGGGAACUGCAUUUGAAACUGGCGAGCUAGAGUUUGAGAGAGGUAAGUGGAAUUUCAGAUGUAGCGAUGAAAUGCAUAGAGAUCUGAAGGAACACCAAUGACGAAGGCGACUUACUAGCUUAAAACUGACGCUAAGAUACGAAAGCGUAAAUAACAAACAAG